UCUGCCCGCUGGCGGUGUGCCUAAUACAUGCAAGUCGAGCGAACAGACGAGGAGCUUGCUCCUCUGACGUUAGCGGCGGACGGGUGAGUAACACGUGGAUAACCUACCUAUAAGACUGGGAUAACUUCGGGAAACCGGAGCUAAUACCGGAUAAUAUAUUGAACCGCAUGGUUCAAUAGUGAAAGACGGUUUUGCUGUCACUUAUAGAUGGAUCCGCGCCGCAUUAGCUAGUUGGUAAGGUAACGGCUUACCAAGGCAACGAUGCGUAGCCGACCUGAGAGGGUGAUCGGCCACACUGGAACUGAGACACGGUCCAGACUCCUACGGGAGGCAGCAGUAGGGAAUCUUCCGCAAUGGGCGAAAGCCUGACGGAGCAACGCCGCGUGAGUGAUGAAGGUCUUCGGAUCGUAAAACUCUGUUAUUAGGGAAGAACAAAUGUGUAAGUAACUAUGCACGUCUUGACGGUACCUAAUCAGAAAGCCACGGCUAACUACGUG
rnacentral:rRNA from 1 species